rnacentral:tRNA from 1 species
GCCUGGCUGGCUCAGUCAGUAGAGCAUGUGACUCUUGACCUUGAGGUGUGAGUUCAAGUCCCACAUUGGGCA